UGCUGGCUUGGACAGCAAUGUGCUAAAAUUGGAACAAAACAGAUUAAGUUGGUCCCUGCGCAAAGAUGACGCACAAAUUCUUGAACUGUUCCAUAUACCA
ensembl:snRNA U6 U6 spliceosomal RNA